rnacentral:rRNA from 1 species
UACGGAGGAUGCAAGCGUUAUCCGGAAUGAUUGGGCGUAAAGCGUCCGCAGGUGGCUGUGUAAGUCUGCUGUCAAAGAGCGAAGCUCAACUUCGUAAAGGCAGUGGAAACUACACGGCUAGAGUGCGUUCGGGGCAGAGGGAAUUCCUGGUGUAGCGGUGAAAUGCGUAGAGAUCAGGAAGAACACCGGUGGCGAAGGCGCUCUGCUAGGCCGCAACUGACACUGAGGGACGAAAGCUAAGGGAGCGAAUGGG